rnacentral:tRNA from 1 species
GGCAGUGUGGCCUAGUGGCUAGGGCACUGAACUAGCACUCAGGAAACCUGGGGUCUAUUCCCAGAUCUGCUG